CAAAGAAACCUUCUGGCCACACUAUGGCUGUGAAGGUUCCUAUUUAUGUCCUAUUCUUGUUCAUUUGGACAAUCAAUUGUUUAAAUAGAAACCAUACUAAUGAAUCAUCUACUAUCACUACCACCACCACAGGGUCUGCAUCUCCUCAGAGGGGACAUGGCGAAGUCUUUGGUAUAGUAAACUUUGGAAGAGGAAGAUGAUGGAAGGGAAAGGUCCCUUUUCAAUAGCCUCCAAAACUAUAUCUGUUUUAUUACCUAACAUUUUCCCCUUAAGAAUUGAGACCCUAAACUCAUUUAAAAGACAGACAUCAAGUCACUCUGUGCACUUUUGGAUGAAAUUAAGGGUACAUAAGGGUUGAGGGUCCCCACUCUUACUGAAUUCAUGCAUUGGAGAUCAAUCAAGGGGCCCAGAUAGAUGGAGAUAGAUUGUUGCAGGAUCACUUGGGUGUGGAUGGACAAUGAGACAGUGGUGUUUGUCAUGGUCUUAGUGCAGGUAACUAUAGUUACGUGAGUUAAGGAUUACGGUAGUUGCAUCAUCGAGUGUAGGAAUGGCCUUUCAUCCUAGCCCUUUACCUUAUCUUCCAGCUCUUAAAUACUUCUGGCCACCGCUUCCACAAGGUUCCCUGAUUCUAAGAAGUGGUGGUGUAAGUGACUUGUCUGGGGCUAGAUUCACAUUCAUGACUUAGUUUCUACAUUCUCUGCUCUUCGUUGCAAGGAAAGGCUUCUUUGAUUAAGUCUGAAGCUGCUUUUGUCUGCUCAACAAAGAAAAUGUGGCAGCUAUAUCAUCCUGGGUACCCAAAGUAUCAGCUUGUCAACCUGAUAUGAUACCUGAGGACAUUCUACAAACUCAACCUGUGCUAUUAAAUUAAGACCAGACAUUUACACCCUCAUGUCAAGAAAAACUAUCUGUAUCAAACAGUGCAGUAAAAUCAAUUUAGCCUUCAAGUCUAGAAAAGUCAUGCAUGCCAUCCAAUGCACAAAGACGAGCGAGAUACUCAAAUACAGAUAAGUCAUCCAUACCAUGCACUGUAAAAAAGUCAAGUAGGCAACUAGAUUUGAAAGGCCAACCAAGUCAUCAAGCUGCCAAAGAUUACAUAAGUCACAUUACCUGGAAAAGUCAUAUAAGAAACACAACCUUAAAAAAUCAUAUAAACUCACCCACACCUAUAAAUUAGCUAGUCAAGUCAAUUCAUCCAAUUCAAAGAAAUAGUCAUACCACCAUGGCUAGCUAUUUUGCAAUCUUCAAAUAUGCUAGCCACACAGUCUUGUCCAUCAGUCUCACAUAAUCAAAUCCUGUCCACCAAACCCUCCAGUAUAAAAAAACCGAACCAGUCACAUGGACACCAUGAUGUGAAAAGCCAGUGAGUACAGGAAAGGCUGUGUUACCCAGGGGGCAUCUAUCAGACAAAGUUUGCUGAUAUUAUCAGGAAAAAUGCCUUAUUUGUAAUACUUUUGGACUUCUCAGUGAUCUUUUGGGGCCAAAUAAGGGACAUGUUGGAAAUCCUCAUGUUUCAAGGAAAAUGAAGCCAUCUCCGAAGUCUUUUUAUGAAACAGAUCACAAGUACAGUGAACCAAAGUACCAGUACAAUUCUUAUCAAGAUAAUGAGAGCAAUGAUACUAUGAAAACACAGGAUAGUGAAAAUAGUGAUGCACAGACAGUCAUUUAUUUGUGACACAAGUCAUGAAGAGGAUGACAUGGCUAAAGGCUCCUUACAUUAUUAAGGACUUAAAACAACUUAAUCUACAUACAGAGUAUCCACAUGUAAUCACUAUCAAGAAUAGACCUAUCUAUCUUGAAGGCAAUUAAAUGCAUGUCAUAACAAA